UAAUAAGUGUUUUAUGGCACUUUUUAAAUCCAUAUCCACCUUGUGUGCAACGUCAGUCGAUCUUCUUCAUGGAGAUCGACCAAACAUCAACCUUUAUUUUUUAACUCUUUGUCUGAAAAAUAUUAUGAAUAAACAAUUCAAAAUA
rnacentral:misc_RNA from 1 species